rnacentral:misc_RNA from 1 species
CCCUCCUUUUUCUCAGUAGCCAAGCGAUACCUCAUUUCGCCUGCUACCCCUCUUAAAUUCUGGAACUAAUUCUUCCGUUAUAACCACCUCCAGCCAUGUGUCCUUCUCUCUUUUGUUCUUUCCAUCAACUAAUUCCGCAUGUGCAGCCUCCAGAGAGAUUCCACUCCCUUUGCCCUGCCCUUUAGCUCUUCUAGAAUAUACCUUAAAAGGCCUUGGGCCCUUUUCAACCUUAUCA